rnacentral:misc_RNA from 1 species
GAUGAAGAACGUAGCGAAAUGCGAUACGUAAUGUGAAUUGCAGAAUUCAGUGAAUCAUCGAGUCUUUGAACGCACAUUGCGCCCUCUGGUAUUCCGGAGGGCAUGCCUGUCCGAGCGUCAUUGCUGCCCUCAGGCACGGCUUGUGUGUUGGGCUCCGUCCCCCGAUCCCGGGGGACGGGCCCGAAAGGCAGCGGCGGCACCGCGUCCGGUCCUCGAGCGUAUGGGGCUUUGUCACCCGCUCUGUAGGCCCGGCCGGCGCUUGCCGAUCAACCAAAUUUUUAUCCAGGUUGACCUCGGAUCAGGUAGGGAUACCCGCUGAACUUAAGCAUAUCAAUAAGCGGAGGA